UCCGUAGGUGGAUAAUUAAGUCAGAGGUGAAAUCCUGCAGCUCAACUGUAGAAUUGCCUUUGAUACUGGUUAUCUUGAGUCACUAUGAAGUGGUUAGAAUGUGUAGUGUAGCGGUGAAAUGCAUAGAUAUUACACAGAAUACCGAUUGCGAAGGCAGAUCACUAAUAAUGUACUGACACUGAGGGACGAAAGCGUGGGGAGCGAACAGGAUUAGAUACCCUGGUAGUCC
rnacentral:rRNA from 1 species